CCCUUAGAUGUCCUGGGCUGCACGCGCGCUACACUGGAAGUUACGGAUUGAGAUACUACCUUGUCCGAAAUGGUCCGGGUAAUCACCUAAAAGCUUGUCAUAAUUGGAAUGGAUUAUUGUAACUAGUAAUCCUGAACGAGGAAUUCCUAGUAAGUCCCAGUCAACAGCUGGUACUGAUUACGUCCCUGCCCUUUGUACACACCGCCCGUCGCUACUACUGAUUGGACGUUUAAGCAAGAUUUUUAAACACUGACAGUGUGUAAUUCACGCUAUACUACAGUGAGAAGAAGAAGAUCGAGCUUACUUGUCUAGAGGAAGUAAAAGUCGUAACA
rnacentral:rRNA from 1 species